rfam:Myotis brandtii contig157281, whole genome shotgun sequence.
GAUGGUUCUCAGGUGACACACCCCAGAAUCAGGCUCCCUCCUCUCUGGUUCUGGUUGUGUCACCUGAGUACUGCA